GGAGGAGCCUCUGGAGAGAACCGUUAAAUCGGUCGCCGAAGGAGCAAGUUUACAGCUUAGCUGUAAGUGAAACUCUCAGGCAAAAGGACAGAGGAGAUAAG
rnacentral:ncRNA from 1 species